AUUGAACGCUGGCGGCAGGCCUAACACAUGCAAGUCGAACGAGUGGCGGACGGGUGAGUAAUGUCUGGGAAACUGCCCGAUGGAGGGGGAUAACUACUGGAACCGGUAGCUAAUACCGCAUACCAUCGGAUGUGCCCAGAUGGGAUUAGCUUGUAGGUGAGGUAACGGCUCACGUAGGCGACGAUCCCUAGCUGGUCUGCGAGGAUGACCAGGCACACUGGAACUGAGACACGGUCAAAACUCUUACGGGAGGAAGAAGUGGGGAAUAUUGCACAAGGGGCGCAAGCCUGAUGCAGCCAUGCCGCGGUGAUGAAGAAGGCCUUCGGGUUGUAAAGUACUUUCAGCGGGGAGGCGUUACCCGCAGAAGAAGCACCGGCUAACUCCGUGCCAGCAGCCGCGGUAAUAC
rnacentral:rRNA from 1 species